UACGUAGGGGGCAAGCGUUAUCCGGAUUUACUGGGUGUAAAGGGAGCGUAGACGGCUGUGCAAGUCUGAAGUGAAAGGCAAGGGCUCAACCUUUGGACUGCUUUGGAAACUGUGCAGCUAGAGUGUCGGAGAGGCAAGUGGAAUUCCUAGUGUAGCGGUGAAAUGCGUAGAUAUUAGGAGGAACACCAGUGGCGAAGGCGGUCUGCUGGACAGCAACUGACGCUGAGGCGCGAAAGCGUGGGGAGCAAACAGG
rnacentral:rRNA from 1 species